GAUGAACGCUGGCGGCGUGCCUAAUACAUGCAAGUCGAGCGAAUGGAUUAAGAGCUUGCUCUUAUGAAGUUAGCGGCGGACGGGUGAGUAACACGUGGGUAACCUGCCCAUAAGACUGGGAUAACUCCGGGAAACCGGGGCUAAUACCGGAUAACAUUUUGAACCGCAUGGUUCGAAAUUGAAAGGCGGCUUCGGCUGUCCCUUAUGGAUGGACCCGCGUCGCAUUAGCUAGUUGGUGAGGUAACGGCUCACCAAGGCAACGAUGCGUAGCCGACCUGAGAGGGUGAUCGGCCACACUGGGACUGAGACACGGACCAGACUCCUACGGGAGGCAGCAGUAGGGAAUCUUCCGCAAUGGACGAAAGUCUGACGGAGCAACGCCGCGUGAGUGAUGAAGGCUUUCGGGUCGUAAAACUCUGUUGUUAGGGAAGAACAAGUGCUAGUUGAAUAAGCUGACACCUUGACGGUGCCUAACCAGAAAGCCACGGCUAACUACGUGCCAGCCGCCGCAGUAA
rnacentral:rRNA from 1 species